rnacentral:rRNA from 1 species
UACGUAGGGUGCGAGCGUUGUCCGGAAUUAUUGGGCGUAAAGGGCUCGUAGGCGGUUUGUCGCGUCGGGAGUGAAAUCCACUGGCUUAACUGGUGGCUUGCUUUCGAUACGGGCAGACUGGAGGUAUGCAGGGGAGAACGGAAUUCCUGGUGUAGCGGUGAAAUGCGCAGAUAUCAGGAGGAACACCAAUAGCGAAGGCAGCUCGCUGGGACGUUACUGACACUAAGGCGCGAAAGCGUGGGGAGCGAACAGG